rnacentral:rRNA from 1 species
UACGUAGGGGGCUAGCGUUGUCCGGAAUCAUUGGGCGUAAAGCGCGUGUAGGCGGUUCGAUAAGUCCGCUGUGAAAGUCGGGGGCUCAACCCUCGAAAGCCGGUGGAUACUGUCGGACUAGAGUGCGGAAGAGGCGAGUGGAAUUCCUGGUGUAGCGGUGAAAUGCGCAGAUAUCAGGAGGAACACCGGUGGCGAAGGCGGCAUCCUGGACCGGCAUUGACGCUGAGGCGCGAAAGCUAGGGGAGCAAACGGG